UCGAGAAUCUUCCGCAAUGGGCGCAAGCCUGACGGAGCGACGCCGCGUGCGGGAUGAAGGCCUUCGGGUUGUAAACCGCUGUCAGUAGGGAGCAAAUGCAUCAGGGCAAUCUCUGGUGUUUGAGCAAUCUGCAGAGGAAGUCCGGGCUAAGUACGUGCCAGCAGCCGCGGUAACACGUACCGGACGAACGUUAUUCGGAAUCACUGGGCUUAAAGAGUCCGUAGGCGGCUCGGUAGGUGAGGUGUGAAAUCCCACGGCUCAACCGUGGAACUGCGCUUCAAACCACCGGGCUUGAGGGAGAUAGAGGUGAGCGGAACUGAUGGUGGAGCGGUGAAAUGCGUUGAUAUCAUCAGGAACACCGGUGGCGAAAGCGGCUCACUGGGUCUCUUCUGACGCUGAGGGACGAAAGCUAGGGGAGCGAACGGG
rnacentral:rRNA from 1 species